rnacentral:lncRNA from 1 species
ACCAUGAUGGAAAAUAGUAUAUAGAAAAAGAAUGUAUGUGUAUGCAUGCCUGGGUCACUUUGCUGUACAGCAGAAAUUGGCACAACGUUGUAAGUCAACUAUACCUUAAUUUUAAAAAAGUAUUAAGUUAAAAAAAUAAAAAUUUAGCCAUGUGAUAAGUCAACUUCCAAAAAAAAAAAAAAUAGCAUCAUCUUCAUAGAGGUGUUUGAGGCUACGUGAUGUAAUGUGCACAACACCUGCCAGCGGGUACAUUCUUUCUUUUUCUUUCUUAAUUUUAUUGGAGUGCAGUUGCCUUACCAUAUUGUAUUGGUUACACCAUGUAGGUUUUUAAUGCAUCAUGCCUUUUAUUUUUAUUAUCAAUGUUAUUAAAAACAAGAACUUAUUAAAUAGUUACAAAAAUUUGAAAAUUAUAGGAUAGAAUAAUCUUUCAGAAUGUUGGCUCACAAGACUUUUGAAGUUUAUGUCUGUCAUGCUUAUUUAACUCUCAGAUUUAUUUUUAAAAUUUCAGUUCCCUCUCCUGCCUCCAGGAAGCAUAUAUUUUUGUUUGCCUACACAGUAUGUUGUCCUACUUAUUAUUUUGGACAUGGGAAUAAAGGGGUGCUUGGAAAUGUCUAGAUUAUCUUGGCCAUUUUCUUGUUACAUUCAGUUGCGUCAGUAAGACAAGCUCCCUCAGGAGCUCUCUGGGUUAUGAGUCUGGAGUGUCAUAUAAAAAAGAAAUAGCUAUAACUCUAUAUUUUAUGGCUGGAGAUUACAUAAAGAUUCUUGCCUGACUUUCUUUUGAAUUAAGUAUUUCAGUAAUGUUUAAAAUUGAGACUCUAAAUUAUUUUUAUUAUCUAUUGUUUUGCAGUUUUCUGAAAGCAGAAUUUCUGAUAACUAAAAUAGUUUGGAAAUAUCUAUGAGAUACACAGUGUCCACAGAGUCUGCCAGUCUACAUGUAGUGGGUACGUUUUAGCUGUGGUAUUUAUUUAAUGGUUCCCUGCCAUUUAAGAAAAAAUUAUAUUUAAUGCUUUAUCUCAUUCCUGAAAAGAUCUUCUUGGUCAGGCUUCUUGCUGGAAACACCUAACUGCGCUCUUAGGUUAAGGUUUUAGCUACUGCCUCCGUGAGGUGAGAACCUCCCCAUUUUCAACUGAUCCAGCAACCUCUUUCCAUUCGUUAGGCGACCUUUGCUAGUUUCUACUGUGCGAAGAAAAGCCUUCGGGAAGUUAAAGCUUUCUUCCUUCCUCAUGUUCUGUAUGGUGAGCAUCUCCCUUCAGGUCCUUGUCCCUGUGGGAUCCACGCUGAGGAGCAGCUUUUUUCUGAGCCAUGCCAAGACGGUGGCAGGAAGGGAAAAAAGGAUUGUGAGACCACGUGCUGGCUCUUCCAGCAUCUGCUCACAGGAAGGCCAAGGUUCAUGCCUCUUCCACUCCCACUUCCUGAGCCCCAGUCAGUCACAUGGCCAAGCCUGAUGACGGUGUGGUGGGAAGGAUAGGCGCCCUGAGACCCUGGGCCUGGUUUGUGGGGGGAGGGAAUCAUAAGACUCUUGAGACAAAAUUGCAGUCUAUCCAGUCUGUCUCACUGCCUCCACACCGCUGUCCUUACGUGGUGAAAGGUCCCUUCCUCUCUAAUUCUGAAGUAUCACGGAUUCAUUUUUUAAACACAUAUUGGACACAGUCAGUGAUUGCGUAGGCUGUAAUUUAAGGGCCAUAAACUGAAAGAAAAGUCUGCGGAGGUCCUUGGCUCUUACCCUCCUGGUAUUUCUAUUCACACGGAAGGACCUUCAUGUUUUCCUUGAUACUUUCUUCUCAUUUACCUUUUAUGAUGCCAAAUUUCAAAUGGAUUUUUUACGUAAGAGAGAUAGUAUCUGAAUUCUACGUCUAUAAUUCAUUAGUUAUGUGAUCUUGGUUAAGCUAUUUAUUCUCUUUGAUCUUCUAGUUUCCUGAGUACUAAAAUGGAGGUAUUAGAUGUCUGCAAUUUAAUUGCACAAAAAAUGUGAGUCACUUUGUGCUGUCACCUUGUUGCAUUAUAAAUUUUCAGCAAGUCGUAUAUUAUCUCACAAGAUAACCCUCUUAGGCUUCUCAUUUCACUCCGAAUUACAACAGAAGUCCUUUUGGUGUCCUACAAACUGCUCAGUGAUCUGUCCCCAUGGUUCUCACCCUUGCUUAGUUUGCUCCAACUAUGAGGGACUUCCCAACAAUCCGUAGCACAAAGAGCACAGUCCAGGCGUGGCACUUCUGCUGCUGCUGUUCCUGCUGGAAUGUUAUUCCUCUAAAUAUCAACAAGACUUGCCUCAUCAUUUUGUUCUGCUUAAAUGUCAUCUCAUUGGAGAGGCCUCUGGCCACUUUAAGAUAUCAAUCUUUCUAUUAUUCUCUAUCUGCUUUCCUUGACAUUUGUUUUCUAUUCUGGUAUAUGGUCACUUGACAUGUAUACGUGUUUGUUUACUGGUGUAUGAUUUUUUCCUCCCUCUAGAAUUUAAACUCCAUAAGAACAGGGACUCUUUGUACACAGUGCAGUCUGCCACCUGCAAUGGUUCCUGCCUAUAGCGGGUGAAUAAAUUAUGAGUGAAUAAAUGUAACAUAGUAUACCAUUCAAAAGAAUAAGAUGGAACAAAGAAGACAAAACAGGUCCCUCAUAUUAUUUAUCACUGUAUACUCCAAAACUAAUCUACAAAGAGACAUAAUUACAGAAUUGAUGUAUUUAUCUUCAAAGUCACUGUCCAACUGAAUGCAGUCUAAGUAAAUGGAAAUUACUGACAGCUAUAAAAUAUACAUGAUUAUGUUACUUUUUAAAGCAAUUUCUUCUAAAUACUAUUUCUUACAGGUAGAAACUGGUUUAUUUGAAAUGUAAGCUAUGCUUAUGCAGGUGGGCUAAAAUAGGAGUAAAAUUGCUUCCUUUCUUGGACAAUAGAUAAAAGGAAAAAAAAUCAAACAGUACCUUGAGUUUAGAGCAGUGACUUUAAUAAUAAGGAAGUUAAAUAAUUUCACAAUAUUUGAAAAAUUUAAGAUCUAAGGUCUUUUAUUUAAGAAGGUAAGGUUUUUCAUUUAAGCCAAGGUAUUAUUUCAACAUAUCAUCAAACAAAAUUGUUAAUAAGGUCAUUUACUUUUUUGAAUUUUUAAUUCUUUGAAAUUGAUGUGUGUUUAGACUCACCACACUUCUCAACUUGUAUUGGCCACAUUCCAAGUGGUGAGUUGCCACCUGCGGCUAGAAGCUACCACACUGGAUGUCGUAGUUCCAGUCUGAUCAUACCCAUACGUGCAGAUGCUCUUUAACCGCAUCUUUAAUUCACUGCUGUGGCAUUCUUUUUUUUUUCAAGUUUAAUAGACAAAAACAUUUCAUCAUUUUUAAUUUCCGGUUUUGAUUACAAGGAAUAUUAACCAUAACUAGUAGUAAUUGAGAGCGACCUGUAUGCUAGGAUUGCACUAGCUGCUUUACAAAUGUCACCUAGCUCUUCACAAAGAAAUGAAAUGUGUUAAAAGGAAAAUGGGGCCCAGAAGGGUUACAAAAUUUGUCAGAACUCACACAGCUUAAAAUGGCAGAGCUGGGAUUCAAUCUCAGAUCUUAGCUUUUGGGCUGAUUUCAGGAAUUUGUGUAUGAUCUGUCAUCUUGAGAUUCCAGGGGCUAUAAACUGAACUUUAUUUCAUAUGUAGUGAAACUGUGUUAAUUGAAAUCAAGUGUGAAGCUUUAAAUACGGUCCUGUGACUCUUAGGUAACCUGUCAAAUGCAAUCAUUCCAAGUGCCAAUAUAGCUGACAUUAACCUGAGAAAUCUGCUAUAAAUGGAUUAAAUUUCAUCAUUUUGGUUUUUGGCUAUGUUUCUUUAACUGGACAAAUAUUAAGUAAUCCUGUGUGGGUAAUCAGUAUUCUACUAAUAGAUACGCAGGAGUUAAGAUAAAAUAAAGCUGUUACUGAUAAAGACAAGCCUGAUUUUUCAAAGUAUUUCUGGCAUACGUCUCAGUUUGAUUCUGGAGAGAUCAAUGACUUUUUCCUAGUAAAGCAUUUUACCUGCCCAGUACUGCUGUUUUUCUAGAUUCUGAAGAACUGUCACGUAACUUCUCAGUAAAGUUAGGCUUCAGUAUGCAGUGGGCCCCUGUUUGCAGCAGACACCCAAGAAUGAGUUGAAAGUGUCUCCUUUGUUUGUAUAAAUUAAUGUAUAAAAGCUUCUUUCUCAGGAUCCUAUUUAAAUCCAAGGAGUUGGAACAUCUUAGUGAUGAUUGAACAUCUAGACUCUGAACACAGUGAGCAGCAGAAGGUCUCUGGGUAGAAUGUAUUUAAUGUUUGAAUCUCAAUUAGAACCAAUAUUAAAUCCAGAUAGGGCAGGAAAUAUCCACGGGUAUGAGGAAAGCAGUAUCCUUCAAGUCACUGAGUAGCCAUAUAAAAAACGUUUGAAUCUCAUGCCAGAAUAAUUUUCCUUUUGUCAGGAUUUCAGUUACACUCGAGUGGAGAUCAUUUUUACGCCGAGGAAAUACCUUGGUGCUGGUCCCACUGUCCUCAGUGGGACAGGAGUGGGCAGCAGGAUUUCUGGGGAACUGCACGGCAGCCUGCACGUUUGCUUUGGAGGCAGACUUUCUUGCUCUGCGUGUGAAUUGCAAAGUAAAAAGUUGAUCUGCCUUAGCAUCUCUAAGCCUUCCCUGUUGAUUUUGGCUACUGUUUCGUGUCGCUUGUACUAGAAGCACUUGGAGAGCUUGAAAAGGCGUCUCUGGCCUUGUUUUUAAUAUUACUCUAGCUGUCAGUAAGUAGAACCUCAAAGCCAUUGUUGUGAAGAAGUUGCAUUGAAAAUGAACUCCAUUUGAGAUGAAAUUCUUGGUAAAAGCAAAAGAAACACUGUCAUAUAAGUUUUAUGGUAUGCCUUUUUUAGUGUUGACUUGGAAUGCUUCAGUAUGUGUUCGGGAGAACAUGGAGCAUACAUAAAACGGAAGGAAGGUAGAGGGCACAGCCCUGGGUCACUGGGGCACCGAAACUUUAUCAAGAGCAUGUGCACACCAGGAGUUAGGAUCGUAGUUAGUUCUGAGGGAUAGGGUUUUCCCCAGGACACUGGCCUUCUGGGAAACAGAGUUAAGUGAUGUUUAACUCUGACCACUUGAAAAGCCAAAGAAAACCCACCCUACUACUCUGUCUCUGACUGAGGCCUUAAGCUUACCCCAGGUUUCAGGUCAGGCUUUUUGGCAUCCGCAGAGAUGGAAGAAACUAGAGGAUUCCAGCAGAGGCCGUAUCCCCCACACAGAUUCCAUGGACCUCUCAGGAGGUGAGAAUUUCCAGUUACGUCUGUUUUCUUUGGUUGAGCAUGUCAGCAGGAAGUACAGGCAGUGAACAGGUAUUUGAGGGGGUAGGGUGGAGAUGGAGGGACAUAUCAUAAGCAGAGUGCUCUUCCACAGAGAGGGCUUGGCAUCCGUAGAGGGGUUUCCGGUCUCCCUCACUGAAUGCAUUUCAAAGUAGGGCCCUUGUCCCAGAGGAGUCCAAAAUCAUUUACAUGGUAAUGAAUCAGGGAACCUUUAGGGAAAACAUGGCAGUAGGUCUUUUCACUCCUGCAGGAGGGCACACCAGGAAGACAAUCUGCCUAUGUGUGGAUACUGGGUGAUGCAAGAAAUCGGGGGGCAGUCCAGGCCCCUAAAUGAUGUGAGCAGUGCCACGUACUGGAAAUUGACUGUAGGGCUGCAGGAGAGUACUGCUGAGGGCUGAUAAUCCAAACCAAGACUGGUCUAGACAUAGAAGCUGAACGUCAGUAGUCGCAGUGAAUCCUGACUGAGAUGGGUUGCCAUGGACAUAAAGAAGGCACGGACUCUGUACUAGACCUUGUAGGAAGAGCAGGGAUGUCUCUAGACCACCCUCCGAGGUAGGUCCUGAGUACCGUAUAAAUAAGAAAAACCAUUUACCGUUUAAAACACACUGAUCGGAGACUGCGUUAGUACAGUGUCUAACAUGUUCGCUAGUCCAGCUCUUCCUCCUGUCGCUGUGCUGGUCUCUGCUAGGUUGUUGCAUGUUAGGACACAAAUAUAUAUUGGUACUCAGUAAUUCCAUCUGAAUUUAGAUGCACUUCAAAAUCGAAUAUAUCUUUGCCAAAGUGAAGAAAUGGAGUAUCUGAGCAUAUCUGAGGCCUGUUUGACCAUGGGGAUGAUGACAAUGAUUUUUUUUUUUUUGUCCAGAAUAUUUAAUUAUGUUUUUACCUGCAAAAUGGUGGGAUUACAUGGCCAUAGUGAUGGAACUAGAUGAUUCAGAGAGAAGAGUGAAGGAAAUAGGAUAAACCACAGAUUCUAGAAACUAGAAAACUAUCUUGAAACCACUUUGGGAAUUCCACUGUCUCCUGUCAAAGAAGAGAUCUAAGACCAUUGUAUUCCAGCAACAUCUUAAAUAUCUUCUGUUUCAGUCUGCUACAUGGUGUAACUAUCCACUCCCAACAUUCCUGGCAUCUGGUCGGUGACAUUUAAACGCUCUUGUGGAGUUCCCGUCGUGGCUCAGUGGUUAAUGGAUCCGACUAGGAACCAUGAUGUUUUGGGUUCAAUCCCUGGCCUCGCUCAGUGGGUUGGGGAUCUGGUGUUGCGUGAGCCGUGGUGUAGGUCACAGACGCGGCUCGGAUCCCGCGUUGCUGUGGCUCUGGUGUGGGCCGGUGGCUACAGCUCUGAUUAGACCCCUAGCCAGGGAACCUCCACAUGCUG